UUGCCCUAACCCGUACACAUCAAAACAAGGGUUUGGGAUAUAUGGGCCUGGCCAUUUUACGGCCCAAGGUUAAUUCUCACCAACGACGACUUCUUUCUCCGUCGAACCUUCUCAGCAGCCCAACGAUUCCGGCUUCUCUGCUGCUUUCAUUCACACCGAAAGCGGGAAGUUCAUACUCCGACUCCACAGCGCCGCCAUGGCCAUAGCCACCACCAUUUCUCUUCCACUUACCUCACCAUCGUCACGCUCUCUUGCUUCAAUUCCUUCUCUCCGAUUGUCUUUUACUUCUACACUUCAACUGGAUUCCCUUCCGAAGUACUUCGCUCGGAGAAGAAGCCCUAGGCUCUCCGUCUCCGCGUCUUCCGCUGGCCUUGAAGUUACAGAGAAAGCGCGGUCGUUGUCUUUUCUUGACCACAGAGAGAGUGGUCUCCUUCACUUUGUUAAGUACCACGGCCUCGGCAAUGACUUCAUCUUGGUUGAUAAUAGGGACUCGUCAGAGCCUAGGAUCACCCCGGAGCAAGCUGCUAAGUUAUGUGAUCGAAACUUUGGGAUCGGUGCUGACGGUGUCAUUUUUGCUAUGCCUGGCGUUAAUGGUACUGAUUAUACUAUGAGGAUAUUCAAUUCUGACGGUAGUGAACCGGAGAUGUGUGGUAAUGGAGUGCGAUGCUUUGCCAGAUUUAUUGCGGAGCUUGAGAAUUUGCAGGGAAGGCAUAGCUUCACUGUUCAUACUGGCGCUGGUCUGAUUAUUCCAGAACUUCAGGAUGAUGGACAGGUAAAAGUAGACAUGGGUGAACCAAUUCUCAAAGCAACAGAUGUGCCUACCCGAUUGACACCAACUAAAGACCAAUCUGUUGUUAAGGCAGCCAUAGAAGUAGAUGGAGUUGCAUGGAGCGUGACCUGUGUCAGUAUGGGAAACCCCCAUUGUGUAACUUUUGGCAACAAAAUUGAGCAGAAUCUGCAGGUCGAUGACAUAAAUUUAGCUGCAAUUGGUCCAAAAUUUGAACACCAUGAGAUGUUUCCAGCACGAACAAAUACAGAAUUUGUGCAAGUUUUAUCCAAUUCACACCUUAAAAUGCGUGUGUGGGAGCGUGGUGCAGGCGCAACACUUGCUUGUGGAACUGGAGCUUGUGCAGUCGUUGUUGCAGCCGUUCUUGAAGGUCGUGCUGGACGGAAUUGCACCGUUGAUCUGCCUGGAGGACCAUUACAGAUAGAGUGGAGUGAGCAAGACAACCACGUAUACAUGACAGGACCAGCCGAAGUAGUGUUCUAUGGAUCGGUUCCCCUACAUUGAAAGCAACCUAAAGAAUCAGAACAAAAUGGAAGUGUCAAAUUUUGGCCUCUCAGCCGGGUCAAGUGGAUUGUCCCGUGAGAUUGGAUGAAGGUGCAUGUAAGCUUCUCUGACUAAUGCAUAUAUAUAUAUAUAUAUAUAUAUAUGAUAUAUAUAUAUAUAAAAUUUUAGGAUAUAAUUGCCUUACUUUUUAUGGUUAUGAUCUCGGUUUGAUUUUGUACGACAGCAGAGUUCUUGGUCUUUUUUUUUUUUUUUUGCCCCACAAAUUUUCUUUCCACUCAUUUGUACAAAUUUUAGUGAAGUGUACUACAUAUCUAGAUUAGAGAAAUUGUUUUACUUAUCAAAUUUCUCCAAUCUUCCUAUUCCUUGAGAGGGUUUGGAACUAUAUACCUCUCUUAUUCGCUGACACUUUAAAUAUGUGAGUUGGGCUGUAACUUGCUUCGACCUCCAUUCUCCAUCAAAUCCCAGUUUGAUUGAAAGCUA